UACGUAGGGAGCAAGCGUUGUCCGGAAUCAUUGGGCGUAAAGCGCGUGUAGGCGGUUCGGUAAGUCCGCUGUGAAAGUCGGGGGCUCAACCCUCGGAUGCCGGUGGAUACUGUCGGACUAGAGUACGGAAGAGGCGAGUGGAAUUCCUGGUGUAGCGGUGAAAUGCGCAGAUAUCAGGAGGAACACCGAUUGCGAAGGCAGCUCGCUGGGACGUUACUGACGCUGAGACGCGAAAGCGUGGGGAGCAAACAGG
rnacentral:rRNA from 1 species